rnacentral:misc_RNA from 1 species
AUCAUUUAGAGGAAGGAGAAGUCGUAACAAGGUUUCCGUAGGUGAACCUGCGGAAGGAUCAUUGUCGAAACCUGCAAAGCAGACCCGUGAACGUGUUAAUCAAACUUGUGGCUGCGAUAUCGGACGCCGUCGCGUCCAGAUCAUGGCCCUGUCACCCGAACGACGCAAGUCUGUUGGGUGCACUAACCUCUCGGCGCGGCAAGCGUCAAGGAAAAACAGAGCGAUCGCCCCUCCAUGUGGGUGCCGUACGCGGUGCCCGAUGUGUGGAGGAGCAUCUAUCAAAAUAGUCGAAACGACUCUCGGCAACGGAUAUCUCGGCUCUCGCAUCGAUGAAGAACGUAGCGAAAUGCGAUACUUGGUGUGAAUUGCAGAAUCCCGUGAACCAUCGAGUCUUUGAACGCAAGUUGCGCCCAAGGCCAUCAGGCUGAGGGCACGUCUGCCUGGGCGUCACACAUCUCGUCGCCCCCCAGCAUCAUCGUCUUUCCCCACACAUUGUCGGGAAAUGACGCGUGGAGCGUGGGGGUGGAAAUUGGCCUUCCGUUACCAGCGCGUAGCGGCCGGCCCAAAUAUGAAACCGUGCCGAUGAAUGUGACACGAUAUGUGGUGGUUGGAUUCCUCAACUUGCAAACUGUCGUGCUGGACUUGUAUCGAGCCACGGUACGGACCCAACGGCUGGAAGAUGCCCUCGACUGUAACCCCAGGUCAGGCGGGAUCACCCGCUGAGUUUAAGCAUA